GGCCCGCCGGAAGCUGCUGGAGGUCGCGAGCCUGCUGGACGAGCUUCAGAGCGAGGUGGACGCCUCAGCCGAGGGCGUCCUGGGUCCCGGCCGCCGCGCGGGCGGCGAGGCGGAGGAGCGGGUGCUGAAGCUGUGCGAGAAGGCGGAGAGGAAGGCCGCCGAGGCGGCGCUGAUGGGACGGAGGAUCGUGGAGCUCCACCGGCAGAUAGAGAGCUGCGGGUGCUCCUGAAGGACGCGGGGGCGGAGGCUUGCGGUCAGAGUUCUGCAAGACAGAAGACACUGCGUGGCUGCAGCUGCUGAAGCAAGAGCCCAGACCAGUCAAGGAUGUGGAUGCCGCUGCUUUGGAUCAGAUUGAGAAGCCCCUGGGGGGCUGUUGGGCAUGGAGAGGGGUGGCGUCCGCAUUUUGGAAUUUUGCAGUCUCAGAUCAGAGGAGGAGAGCUGUGUUCUUUUCAUUUUCUUUGUUUGCUUGUCUCUUUUUUUUUUUUUUUUCCAGAAAUGUAAUUUUUCUGUGGCAUGUUAACUGGUGCACAUCAUGUAACCUGUCUGGUGAGUAACCUAGAAUAGGGGAUGAGUUCUAGGUACUAUGUGUAUUGGCUGACUUUGGGGUAAACUUUUUGAUGUAAUCAUGCAUUUCAGGAGCUUCUUUGCCACAACUGCACGUGACACUGCAUGGCCUGGAGGGUUUGGGGAGGAGAGCGUGGAUCUGACCGUGGCAGGCCCCAAAAUGAUAGCAGGAAGCAUCUUCCAGGCUGGGAUGAUAUCCAGCCUAGGUCCUCAGAGCAGACCUCACAGAGGUUGAGAGCAGAACUCUAGCUUCCUUUGGUGAACUUUUCACUUGCCUGGAAAAACAAAUGCUGAAAGCCAGUUUUUAGAACCUUUGUGCAAAUAACCAAAGCCAUUGACUUGGCCAGGAAAAGGUGAGAUAAAUUCUUUUCAGAAUGAAA